GUCGAUGUGAUGUCCUUCCUUAUCUGUAUGGGGUUGCCAAUCUCACGCUGGAACAAUGGCAGAAUAUCAAAGAAGCAAGCUUCAAGCAAUUCGUUAGAAGACUCUGCCAUUCCGUGCCAUGUGAAUGUCUUCAUCUUCAGUUUCUGAUUUUGAGCGUUGUAAUAAAAAUACUUCCUAUUAUUUUGAUUAUGAAUAGUUGGUAGAAUAUUUCAUCUUCAGCAUUAAGCAUAAAUGUCCUCUUUUCAAAAUCAGACACUUUCAAAAACAAUUCUUAAUUUUUUGGGGGGGAUUAUUCAUUGAGCUUUUCAGGUAAUACUCAUGUUAGAAAUUAAAGUAUGUUAAAACAAAUACUUUAUGGAAAACUUGUAAAAUUCUGAAAAUGAUUUUAUUAUUAAACUUGUGUUUGUUUGCAUGCAGAAAGUUGGAGAGUAAA